AGUUAAGAAAACCAAGAUGGAGUUGGCCUUUUAAUUGAUCAUUUUAAUGACAUGUGAUGCAGUUUGGAUCAUCAUUUACUGCCCUCUCCUAGCAGUUCCCUCACUUGCUGACUAUUGACCUAUCCAACACACUACUACAUUCCAUGCUUCCCCUCUGGCGAACUGCAUUGAGUAUCUUUGGUCAAAGUGCAUUGUUUUUGGAGAUGAAAUGGAGAAUGGUUGUAAACCCCAUAAACCUGAUCAAGG